rnacentral:misc_RNA from 1 species
AACGCUUUUGGACUGGAAAAUGAGGGGAAGACGUUACACGCUGUUUAUCGGGCUGAUGUUUUCCAGUAUUUUCGCUCUAUUUCUUAUGGCGAGAAAAGAAGCAGAACAGUCCAGCAGAAAGUUGAUUCUAGAUGAGGAGGAAAUAGAGUACUGCGAAUGGAAAAUGAUGCACGAUCCAGCCAUGCAGCAGCAUUCAUCAAAUCACGAAAGAUGGAAUGUCUCGUUGCUGCUAAGCCUCGGCUUAUUGGCUCCCAAGACCUCAUAUGGUUUUAAUGACUCUUCGAUGAUAUACCGUCAAAACAAACAGAUUUGCCGUGAAUACGAGGGCCAAAUGAUAUCUCAACUCACUUUGAAGAGAAUUCUUGGGGAGCUAUCAUCCAAUGCCAAUUUCUGGUGUCAAACGUUGCGCAACGUAACUGGCCGUGUGGGUUCCUGCUACGAUCUCGACAGCAAUUUGGAUGAGUUUCUAACUAACGAGCAAAGUUUAAACAAAACGUGGCGUUGUUUCCACCCACCGGAAACCAUGAGCCAGAUACGCACGACUCUGCAAAUUUAUCAGGCAAUUCGAUUAAAAAGAUUUUCAAUGAAACAAACUGUGGUUGUACCUGUGCUGGAGGAUAAUGUAAGCCGGUUGAAAAACUUCACGUUCGUUUUUCGUCUUUUUUUCUUGAUUGGAGGUCUUAAUCCCCCAGAGGUUUACACUUUCAAUGGUGGACUACUCUUGCUAGACCAGGAAAAUUCGUUCAAAGAAUUUGGCUGCUCAGCUCUCCAACAGGUUUGUGAUUCUGCCGAGAGGUGGAUUCAACUAGUUUUAAGCCACGUGGAAAAAUCCUCCCAGGUUCACGAAUUCAAACUUCUUCCCAGAGAUGGCAAAGUGUCUCAGAUUAUUGCUGCAGAUUUUAUACGCACGCCUUUUGAUACUGAAGUGUUGCGUAUUCACCACAACGUGCAUCGCCUACGUACGAAAUCCACCCCCCAUUCCCUCCAUCUGCUUCUACAUAAGACCAUUAGCACUGCCGUCCGUUUCCUUUCUAUUCGACGUUCCCAUCCAGCUACCAAAUUUGGCUCAGCCUUGAAUGAACAACUUUAUGAUGCAAGGGAAAUAUUUGGCCUUAUUAGCAAUCUUGUCAUCAACCCUUUCAUCAAAUUGGAGCCUACCUUUCAUUCGAGGUGGACUCACUACAGUGCAACUGUUGCAUAUGAAAUGACUUGGUUAAAUCUCCAAGUGUUUUUGAAUAACCAUGCCACAUAUGCUCUGCUGGAAAAUGAAAGGUCUAAGAAUUUCAACAUCAGUGUUGGCUUGGGAUGGAAUGACUUCAAAAUGGAAAUUGGCAACAAGGACACCCGGAUAAGGUCCAUCACCUACAUUCUCAGAAUAAGACGCCUACCCAGAGGAGAUAAUCCAGUUCCAUUUUGUGCCAAUAAUCUAACCGUUUGCAUCCUGGAACAAGAAUGCAGUUUGAGAUUUAAGGACAAGCCAGAAUGCGGAUUACAACCAUCACUGGUCGGCAAUUGGAGCUCAGCUUUGACCGAUUGGAACCGGCUGCCGACUUGUCCUUUUGGCAACUCUAAAGAAGGCGCCUGGAUGAUCCCCUGUUCGUCUUGCCUUCUGGAACGAUCCUGUUAUUGGAGCCGAGCUCGCUGGCAGCCGUUUGAAUGCCGCCAUCCUCAUUAUAGCCCGUCCAGAGUGAAACAGUGUCUGCUACAUCGCAAGCUGAUAUUUGUCGGAGAUUCAACUAACCGUGGGAUGAUGGAAGCUUUGCUGGAACGGCUAGACGGUUGGCUAACGACGUCCGACAGGACAAAGUGGCACGGUUAUCGCCACCGUCUUGCCAACGUUGGCGGGCAGACACAAUUCGACUUUGAUUAUUAUCCAAAAUUCUGGAUGUCUUCGAGAACUUCGCUUCAACAGACUCUCACCCACAUGCUCAGGAGGGCAGCUGCCAAUGAAAGUGACACGACCCUGAUUAUUGGCGGAUUGGACUGGAUGUCUGUCGAGCAUUUUGAAACGAUCCAGCGAGUCUUAGCCGCCGAAGGUUUAUCACGGAUGGCGGUAGUAAUCAAAAUGGCGGGCGCCGGAUUGUUUCAAUCAGACGUGACAACAACACAUGGCGAAAAAGGGCUCGUCUCGACCGCCCGUCGACUAGCCCGCUUGUCGGAGACGGCCCGUCUCCAAUAUGGCUUCCGCACUGUCGACACGUGGAACAUGACGGUCGCCCGAUUCCGCGAUUUUCUACCCGGACGUUGUCGCUGCCAUUUCCACCAGAUCACGGAAGUGACUGGCGAUUCCUCUGAUGCGGAUGCGAUCAACCUCGUUUCUUCAAGUGGCUCAUCCCCUCGUCGAUUCAGCAUUGACGGGCCGAUCAAUCAAGUCUACACGGAGAUCCUUACCGAUCAAAUAUGCCAGAAAAAGGAAAAUGACUCGUGUCUUUAUUGUUUAAAGGGACGCCGGCCUUUCUGAACAAAAGUCGUGUGGCGAUCAUUUUUCAUCAAAGAUUUGGCUUUUUUGAUCAAUGACUUGAUGAGUAUGGCCGGUGUGAAGAGCUCUAUCGUAAUUAUUCCUUACACAAAUAUUUAUUUAUUUAUUUUUUUAUUCUUUGGCGUGAAUUAAAAAACAAAAAAAUCAGCUGAUGGAUCUUUCGUCGGUGAUUGUUAGAAGAAGAAACACCGCCGCCGAGUGGGUUUUCUAUUUUCUAGUAACAAACAACAAUUGACAUUUAUUGUGUUUUCUUGAGAGGAAGAAACUUGCGCUUUUUUUUUCAACCCUAGGAGGUGGUGACCAUGCCCACCAGGGGGCAUUGACCACGACAACCCGCGCUCAGCACAACAGUGGACAGGUAGCCUGUUCCAACAGCAGAAAAAAGAGAGAAAAGGUGUAGACAAGAAGAAGGAAAAAGUAAAAAGAAAAUCACAAUUCUUUUUUUCUGUUGGGAAACGGGAGAAGGAGGAGCCACAAUAGGAGAGUGUUGGAAGGUAAAGGGAGGAGCCAAAGGAGAGCGCUGUGUGGAAAUGCGAUCCGUAAAUCGCCCUCCCUCGUGAGUCUCUGUGUCGGCACCGUCGAAGAAAGACGCGCCUUCCUAUUAGCGAAGCAACAAAAACAGUGUGGCAUUCAUUUUGUGUGUGUGUGUGUGUGUGUGUUAAUCGGCAAUUCUCUCAAUAGCGACUGCAACUCCCCGUUCUUCGACAUCCGCAUUUUCGGUAGAUGACAGCACGUGCAAUUUGAGAAGAUUGUUUUGGAAUAUCGGUUGCAGUUUUCGAUUAUCAUGCUAUCCGUCGGAUAUUUACACAGAGUGCCGUGAUUUCAAUCCAGUGACCCCAAACGAAAUUGAUCGCGACGGAUAUUUAAUUUAUUUUUUAUUUUGAGGGAAGAAAGAACAAAAACAAACACCAGUGUGUGAUUCAGUGUGUGUGAGGGACAACACAAAUCGUUUUGGAAUUGCUCCAAAAUGUC